UCCGGUGAUUUGAGCGAGGAGCUAAAGAACCCGAUCCCAUCUCGAACUCGGCCGUUAAACUCCUCAGCGCCGAUGGUACUGUGUCUCAAGACCCGGGAGAGUAGGUCAUUGCCGGGC
rfam:Microvirga aerilata strain BSC39 scf7180000028452, whole genome shotgun sequence.